CUAAACUAAAGCCUUUUAGACUGAAAGGGCUCAUUCCAAGUGUUACCGUUUCUACUAUUAUCUUAAUGAACCUGUUUAAUUGUGAGCAUCACCACCAGAUUUGUUGGUUCAAAUCCUGAAAUGAAGUCUUGUCAUUAAAAUAAUCUUAUUUAUGCUGUGAUGUUUAUUAAUAUCAGCACAAAAUUAUUAACUUUAGGUACUGUGGAAAUUAACAGUGCUUAUAUUUAUAAAUUAGAGGAUGGAGAGAGGUCAUUAUACUUCUUACUGCUUUUGUUCUGUUUUAAUUUUAACAUGAGUGUGUAAUUUUUUUUGAAGUACAAUUUACAUAUAGCAAAAUUCACCCAUUUUACUGUAUAGUUCUGAGCACUGACAGAUGCAUGCAGUCUUGUAACUGCCACCACAGUCAAGAUACAGAACAGUUCCAUCAUCCCCCCAAAUUAUCUUAUGUCUUUUUGUGGUUACCUGCAGGACUUGGCAGCCACUAAUUCGUUUUUUGUCUCUGUCACUUUACCUUUUCUAGAAUGCACUAAAAAUUGAAUUAUACCAUAUGAAUGAGGCUUUUGAAUCUUCUUCUUUCACUUAGCAUUUGAGAUUUGUACCAUAUGAAUGAGGCUUUUGAAUCUGCUUCUUUCACUUAGCAUUUGAGAUGCAUUUGAGAUUUAUCCAUGUUGGUUAUGUGUAUUAGUAGUUUGUUGUUUUUUAAAGUAAUAUUCUACUAUAUGGGUGUACCUUACCUAUUCACCAGUUUAAGGACAUUUGGAUUGUUUCCAGUUUUUGAUUAUUAUGAAUUAAGCUACUGUCUACAUUUGUGCACAGGUUUUUGUCUAGACAUAAGUUUUCAUCUCAUUUGGGUAAAUACCAAGGAGCACAAUUGCUGGAUCAGAUCAUAUGAUAAGGGCAUAUUUAGUGUUUUAAGAAACUUGGGCAGUCCAUUUUUAUAGAUGAGUGAAUUGAGGCCCAGAUUACUUGGGACACCUGGCUGAUGUCUCAGAGCUGGUAAGUGGUGGUGUUGGCAUUGGGACUAGAAUCCAGGUCUGUAUGCUCUAGAGUUCAUCUGUUUGCUGUUUCUUUUAAUAUUAUUGAACCUAAGAUGUGUACUCAUCUGUGAUGAUGAUGAUGAUGAUGAUGAUGGUGAUGAUGAUUUUUACCACUGCCUUUACCCAUAUACAUCUCUCAUUAUUUUUAUACACUAAAUUCCUACACGUGAAAUGAUUGGACCAAUGUUCAGCACAUUUGUAAGGCCCUUAACGCAUAUUGCUGAAUUGUCCUCUGGAAAAAGUUUCUGUUUAUAAUUCUAUAAACUACACUUCAUACAGUAGCAUUAAGUCCCUAGACUGCCAGCCCCACUUCCCUCAUCCUCUAGCAAGUGGUUAGAUUUUGGAUGUGGUUACUAAUAGAAAUACACUGUUUUGCCUAUCAAUAAUUUUUCUUUCUGAAGUUCUAAUCACUUAUGAAUGCUGUUUUCAGAGAGAGCCAAUCAUAGUCCUGAAAGGUGUAAUCCUGAAUGUUGAAAUCCUGAAAGAUUGAAAUCCAUAAAGUCUUAAAAUCCUGAAAAAUCACAGUCCCCAAAGAUCAAAAUCCUAAAAAUCUAAUGGAAAAAAUAAUUUUAAAAUGAAAUAAUUUACAUUUUUAAGAAGGAAUUUAUUUUAGAAUCAUAAAAACAUGACAGUGCUUCAUUGGCUGCUUGAUACAAAAUAAGCAAUACUAAAUAGCAUACAUAGUUUUACAAGCAUUUGCAAGCACAAACACCCAGGUAUAUUACAUGACAGAUAUAACAUAUGGACUAGUAUGAGCAUAUGAACUGUAUUUAUGAAGAAAUAGGUCAUAAGGAAGUGCAUAAACACCUGUCACUAUGGUUGCUAAUUGUGUGCACCCCUCUAUAACUGUGGGUCAUCUGCAGUACCAUGAUAACCUCAGUUUUUUGACAAGAUUGAUUAAAAAACCAUAAUGGAUCACCACCACAUAUGCAGUCUUCCAGAGGUGAGAUCUCAGGAAAUUUUAUCUUUCACAAAUACAGAUGUAUGAAAAUGACAUCUCUUCAUUUGUUGAACAGUUUCAGUGUUUUUACAUACAUGCACAAUGCUUACAAAGUCAACAUUGUGAUAAUGCACUUUUGUGAAGUCAAGUUUGGAAA